UCCCUCAUGGCUCAGAUGGUAAAGCAUCUGCCUACAAUGCGAGAGUCCCAGGUUCAAUCCCUGGGUAGGGAA
rnacentral:tRNA from 1 species